UCUCUCCUUAUCCACUUGCCUGGCGGGUUCUCCAUAUGACGGCUCCGCUCUUGGCCCGCUGUAUCGCCUCGCCUCCUUCGUCGCCGCGCUGCGUCUCUCCGCGCUGGUCUCGUCGCGGCGUUUCCCCAUGCCGUGCUGUGGCAGCUCCCACAGGCCGCAGCUGCUCCCCUAUCGCUCCAAGCCAGGUCGAUCGAUGGCGGCGCUCUCGCUCUAGCCAUGGAAAGGGACGGCGAGUCCCAGCUGCCGGCAAGCCUCCAACCUUCAGUUCGGUAAUAGCAAGUUGGGGGAGGAGCCGGGAGAGCCACUACUAUCUCGGGCUCCGGCUGUGUCGGUUGGCCUAUCUCAGGAUGUUUUCCGGUACUUCCGUGAUUCCGUCAGUAUGAGGGGAGGGAGCCUUUGGUAAGGGUUUCACCGGAAGCCGGUCGGUUGGCCACGACAGGGAUUGGUACACCAGAUCAAGACCAGUGCUGAUCGACAGGCAUCCGGAGCUCCCUAGUUCACGUGCGUUGUUCCAUGCAGGUCCACUCGUGCGGAUCCAGUGAGGGCAGGUACGGUAGCUCCCUGCUACGAUCUCCUCAUCGGGCGUUUUUUCAUUGGUGAGAUCCCUAAACUGCUCAUUCUCUUACCCUGUUCCUCUCUGUCGCAGCUAGGUCUUACAUGGACCAAGAUUGUCCAAUUAGCUGCCCGUAUCCUCUACAAAUCACAACCCCAUGCUCCAAAUUGCUCAGUUCCUCCUAUUUCCCCCUCCGUCCUCGAAUUCCCGCAGCACAUACUUGCAAAAACAUGAGAUAAUUCCUGAUUAAUAUGAUCUGUAAUUAACUUUUGUUAUUUGAAAUACAUUGUAGUAUUGUACUCUGUUUUGUAUAAAUCCCUUGUCCUUGACAGCUCUGGCAAUGGCAACUGUGAGCACGGAAUUGUGAUCUUGACGUACUCAAAACACUGUGGAUGCUCUACUCAUGCUCAUGUACUUUGAACUGAUUAUAUUCUAUCGAUUUUCCCUUAACUAUCAAUUUUAGUUGACAGUUUAAUAAAAGAGGUCAAGUACGAUACCCCCCCUGAUUGAGUUCAGAUCUUCCUAGUAGGAACAAAAAUUGUUCUUGUAUUUUUAUGACUCCUUGCCCCUUCCGACUUCUGAACCAUAUUGUUUUAUAGAUUUUGUUUGUGACUACUACCUCUAAUUAAAUUCACCUUUGACAGUGGGAAUGCUGGUAGGAUAUAGUUAAUUGUUAACCAAUAAAAAAUCUGGUAUGAUAUAACUAUUUGUUAAUGGCAAGGCUGUUUUUUCUGGUUAUGCUAUACGGAGAAGCUGGAUUAAUUCCCUCAGCAGUUGAGAUUAUAUGGUGCACGGUGCUGAUGAUAAUUCCUUUAUCCCAUGAGUUCAGGGGAGGUGAUAUCCAUGCACCUGUUCAUGUGUCUUUAGGAUUGCCAAUCAUUUUUCGCAAAUUCCAAAUUUGAUGUACUAAUCAGAAAGAAGGCUAAAGGAGGCUGAGAAAAGCUUGAUUCCUAACUGAAGGCGCUUAUCAUUUCUUCCCAUUAGUCAUUGUAUGAAUUUCAGGGUCCUCUCAUAUGAAUCCAACCAAAUCCUUCAUUUCUUAGCUUGAAUCAGCUUCAUAAAUAUAGAUUGCUCCCUUGAUAACGUGCACCGUGGGUGGGUGCGCCAAAGCUUGUAUUGUUACCCAGAUGAUGGGAUUCUUGUUUCUAUGACCUGCAAGUGUCAAUUGAGCUGGACCAGGUAUUUUGUUUGAAACCUUUAUUUCUCUGGCUUCGGCUGAUUGAUAAAAAUUUGAUGUUCUAUGAUACUGCAAUUGAUACAACCUAGAUGUGCUGCCUAGUCUGUUUUUCACACCUGUGUACAUCCUAGCUAAGUAGCUACUUCAAUUGUAAUGCUCUGAUGAAAUCUCCCUGUAAUAUACAAAUUACAUGUAUACAUCUAUUUCAGUAGUGGAGGCUUCCUAGCUUUUGCAUCUAAAUGGACUGGAUUGGUAGUAUGUGCAUGGUCAGAUUAUGAGUGGAAUCGAGAUGUGGUUGAUUUUGAUUUGCGUUUAGUGCCAACUGAAACUAAUUAGGAUUUAUCAAUUUUUUUACACAUGUUAAAUCAAAGAUAUACAUCUCAUUGAGCUCAAUUCCAGGGUUCAGUGCUAUAGAGAAGCAUUGAUCAAUCCCAUCCUUAAUGUUUAUGUACAUCCAGCAGUUGUUGCCAUGAGUUUUUCCCCCUGUCAUGACCAGAAGAAUCUGGUUGGGUUGAUUGCCUAAGCUUGUAUGAGUUAAUAUAUUUGGAUUGAUAUACUUUGCAAAUAAUUUCAAAUAUUCAGAAGCUUUUAUCUUCUAACCAUUGUGGUUCAUGAUACUUGUUUGCCUGAUCAAUAUGCCUUGUUUAUCUUACAGGUUGCCUGAUCAUAGUGGUUGAUUGAUUCUAACGUGUGUCGGUGGAUGAAAAAUCCACAAUUUGAGACUAAUCCAGUAAACUAGUAAUUAGUAUAUCUUCAAAUUAUAUCAAUGUCCUAUUUUUUAGUAUGUGAUCCAUCUUGCAUAACCAUGGUACUAAAUUUUUAUUGGACGUGCCAUGGCCUGAGGUUGUGGAACCUGUGAAUCCAUUGUUUUUGGGGAUUAAUAGUUUUUAUUGAUUACUAGUUCAGAGUGUUGAUACUUUGCUUCACUGGCAGCUACAUUGCUGUUUGAGGGAUUUUGCAGGUAGAUUGCCUUUCAUAUGUAUUUCUCUAGUCGAGGCUUUUUAGCUUCGCAUCUAAAUGGACUGAACCAGUUGUAUGUGCAUGGUCAGAUUACGAUCGGAAAUCCAGACAUGGUUGAUUUUUAUUUGUGAUUAGUUCAACUGAAACUGAUUAGGUAUCACUUUUGAUGUACAAGUUGUAUCAAAGAUAUACACCUAAUUCUUCCUCAAAAGAAAAAAUAUAUAUACACCUAAUUGUUUUCUAUCGUCAUCACUAUAUGAUACCCUGGAUGUUUGCAGGAUAAGCUUUUUGCAUAUAAUUGAAUUUUUAUUCUUAGAGUCAGACAUGACACCACUUGUGGCGAGUUUAUUUCAGUUGCAACGAUUCACUCACUUCAAUUGGAAUGUAGCAAGGUUUCUGCACCUAUAUUUCAUUAUUUACAAUUACACAAUCAUAGAAACUUUUCUAUCCACAUGUGACAUCGUUAUAUGCAACCUUGGUGUAAUGCACAUCCACGCUCCUGUCAUUUUUAGAGACGAUCGAUCAUUUUGCUCUAAUUUUUAAUUUGAGGUGCUAAUCAGAAAAUAUGCUAUUAGAAGCACACAAAGCUUUAUUUUGAACUAGAAGCACUAAUGUUUGCUUUCCAGGAAGAACAUUAUGGAUUUUUUGAUCUGGUGUUCUUGAUGCUCUGUUUUGUGUUUCCGACCAGUUGAAGUGCAAAAUGGACAAUGGAUAAUAUAAAGUAGGAUUGAUUUUUUACUUACUCCAUUUUCAGCUGUAAGAUUCGUAUGUGGAAAUGCAUGUCUGCUCCAUUUUUAGUUUAGGUUAGCAAGUUGUCACUAUAUGUCACAAUGAUUCAUAAACCUUUCUGAUAUCCGAAACUUUUCUAAUUUCGUUAUGUCAAAUGGACCAUCUUAUAUGCAGUCGUACAUAUAUCUUUCUGCUAAGCAUUAUGCUUUAAAAUAAUCUACUUGUUCAGUAUCACAAGUCUGACUAAUCCUCAAUGGAGUUUUUGAUUAUUUUAUAUGCUUUUCUUUUUCAGAUUUAUUUGGGUGCACAUGUGCUGCUGCAUCUUAGAUGUAAGUACUCGUGCCUGAUGGAGGAUAUGAGCAAGCAUGCCAGCAAGUCAAGAAAAGCUCGUCCUUAUCUUUAUCUACAUCCAUCUUGGGUAAUAUGUCGACCUGCCGAGGCUUCGCUACCAGGUCCUAUGCCAUCCUCCUCUUCGACGUGUGGACUGUGGAGCACCCUCCUGGAGUCCUUCCCAGUACAAUGCAAUCUUGUUCUGUCAUGCUCGUGGGCACUUUGAUUUUGCAACCUUCAACUGUUGAAUACUCAAAUUUUCCCAGUGGAGGUUCUUAUAUGUUGGACAUGUCAUGUCACAAUAAUUUCAAUAUGAGCUGGCAAUCACAAAAUCAUUGUAUUCAAAUAGCAAUAGGUUUGUAUUUAAUAACAUGUCUGUCACGAAAUAUUUGUAUUCAAAUUAUAAAGUGCUUGUUUUUAAGAC